rnacentral:rRNA from 1 species
UACGAGGGGUGCUAGCGUUGCUCGGAAUUAUUGGGCGUAAAGGGUAGGUAGGUGGUCUCAUUUGUCUCAUGUGAAAGCCUUGAGCUUAACUCAAGAAGUGCGUGAGAAACGGUGAGACUAGAGUACUGGAGAGGCUAGUGGAAUUCCCGGUGUAGCGGUGAAAUGCGCAGAUAUCGGGAAGAACACCCGUGGCGAAGGCGGCUCUCUGGGACGGUACUGACGCUGAGACGCGAAAGCGUGGGGAGCGAACAGG